UGUCUUUUUUCUUGUUGUAUACAACGUUAAUUAAACAGUAUAACAUGAACACUUACUCACCAAAUACAUGAACUAGCACUAUUGUUAAGAUGAUUGAAUUCCACCCGUGUUCGAUGAAAAUAUAAAAACCAAUACAUUCUUUCCGUGUUCUACUCUUUACUCCAUUGUUCUAGCCGAACAUGAAAAUCAUUCCCACCUUGUUCUCCUCCUUCUAAUCUUCACUUUAAUCCGUAACUACAAUUUCACCAAUCGAAGACUUUCACAUCCAUUUAUAGUCGUCAAUCAAAAAAGGGUCGAUCAUAAUUGAUUUAAGAGAAUGUAUUCGAGGGUUUGAAAAUCUUAUUGAGGAGAGAAAAUCGUUUGUAGUGGAGUUUGUAUCUAAUUGGAGUUGGAUCGAGCAAUUAAUUUUGAAUUCUUUCUUAGGGUGAUCAAAUCGAAAUUGCUAGUAGUUCGAUUGAAUCAAGUCAUCAUAGUAUAAGUUUCCAUAGGUAUUUGUUUCUAAGGAUUUCAAUCUGAUUGAUUUUCUCAGGAAUGAAAUUAAAAUCUAUCUUCAUUGGUAGGUGUAUCUGAAAAUGAUAGCCCAUACGAAUACUAGAGCGGGUGGUGGUGGUGCAUAGGACUCAUCUUCGUUCCUCCAGGUUGCUACGGACGAAUACGUCAUUGCGUACACUUAAUGAUAUCCAUAGUUACCUCGGAGAAGAUCAAUUUCUAAGGAAAUGCCUUCCUGUAUAUGCUGACUAAUGAUCUCUUCAAAGUUGUGAAGGAUGGAGUUCUUUAUGGAUGAGAAAAUGAAUGUGUUGGGUAUGUGCCCACAAUAUGUCUCUUUCCGGAGUUAACUAUACAGAGCAAAUGUUUUAAGACAGGCAAAUCUUCCUUAAGAGUUGCAGGAUGGAAAUUGAUGAAACUGAAUAUGCUCACACAAAAAAGGUUUUGUUUUAAUCUGUUACAAGGUGGUGGACCAAUAGCUUUCGGUUUAACUUAGCAUGUUGAUCACUGGUUUCACUAAGUGAUAUAAAUUGAAGGCUGUAGUGACGUAUAUAUUGAAGGUUCUGGUGAAGAUACAUGUUGAUUUACAUUCGAAGUGAAGGAGUGUCACGUCAUCCCCUUGUCGUUUCAAUUUUUACUGUUUAAUGUUCAAUUAAAUUGGUAGUUGGAAAACUCGACUUGAAAUUAUAUUUCAUUUAGCUCUUCUUUGCGUUGUUUGAAUGUAAUCAAUUAUGACGUUGUAAUAAUCGUUUGAAUGAAUGG